CUCAUGCCCUGUCCCUGCUGUGGCUGCACAUUGUUUGCACUAGAUUUGGAAAACACUCCCAUGAUGAGCUGUCAAUCCUGGUUCCUCUCAGCCAGUGCUGCAGUGAAGUGCACUUUGGUGUCAGCUUUUCAAGACACCCUGACAGCCUCAGAGUCUUGCCUUGUCCUAAGAGUCUUUGACUCUUUGACCCAAAGAGGUUUAGAUCACGGGACUAUCCAGAUGAAUGUGUAAGUAAAUCAGUCGGUCACAUUUAUAUUUUAGUUCAAAAAGGUUCAUUUUGUCUACUUUGUUGA